GUGGAGGAGGACGCCGAAGGUGGGGCUAAUGACUGGGGUGAAGUCGUAACAAGGUAGCCGUACCGGAAGGUGCGGCUGGAUCACCUCCUAACAGGGAGACAACAAAAUGUUUAAUAUUAUUAUUUUGUCACCUUAGGUCGAUCGGUAUCUCACGUUUUUAAUUUAUUAAGAAUUUCAUUUCCUAAGUUUUUCUAGGUCACACCCAUUAUUUUUCCUGGGCCAUUAGCUCAGGUGGUUAGAGCGCACCCCUGAUAAGGGUGAGGUCCCUGGUUCAAGUCCAGGAUGGCCCAUAUCUCUAUGUUGGGGGUAUAGCUCAGUUGGUAGAGCGCCUGCUUUGCAAGCAGGAUGUCAGCGGUUCGAGUCCGCUUACCUCCACUGAUUACCACCUCUUCCAUAACCGGUAGAAAGGAAAUGUUUUGAGUUGUGAUCAAAUUCUGAAAGAAUCUAGCUUCCUAAUGAAAUCAUUAAGAUGCUGGACUCAUUGAAUUAAUUUCAUUGUUUUCAGAGAACCUUGACAACUGCAUAGAUUAUUUUUAAAGACAAUAAGCAUCUUUAAUGAUGCAGAUUUAUUAUUUGUGCGAAUGCAUUAAUAACAAUUCUAUUAAGCUGAUGCUUCAAUUUUUGAAGUUAUUGGUCAAGCUACAAAGGGCUCACGGAGGAUACCUAGGCACACAGAGGCGA
rnacentral:misc_RNA from 1 species